rnacentral:rRNA from 1 species
GACGAACGCUGGCGGCGUGCCUAAUACAUGCAAGUAGAACGCACAGUUUAUACCGUAGCUUGCUACACCAUAGACUGUGAGUUGCGAACGGGUGAGUAACGCGUAGGUAACCUGCCUGGUAGCGGGGGAUAACUAUUGGAAACGAUAGCUAAUACCGCAUAAUAUUAAUUAUUGCAUGAUAAUUAAUUGAAAGGUGCAAUUGCACCACUACCAGAUGGACCUGCGUUUUAUUAGCUAGUAGGGGAGGUAACGGCUCACCUAGGCGACGAUACAUAGCCGACCUGAGAGGGUGAUAGGCCACACUGGGACUGGGACACGGCCCAGGCUCCUACGGGGGGCAGCAGUAGGGAAUCUUCGGCAAUGGACGAAAGUCUGACCGAGCAACGCCGCGUGAGUGGAGAAGGUUUUCGGAUCGUAAAGCUAUGUUGUAAGGGAAGAACGGGUGUGAGAGUGGAAAGUUCACACUGUGACGGUAUCUUACCAGAAAGGGACGGCUAACUACGUG